rnacentral:rRNA from 1 species
GACGGAAGGGGCAAGCGUUGUUCGGAAUCACUGGGCGUAAAGAGCGUGUAGGCGGCUUAGCAAGUCGGGGGUGAAAUCCCGGGGCUCAACACCGGAACUGCCUUCAAAACUGGUAGGCUCGAGUUCGGGAGAGGGGCGUGGAAUUCCCAGUGUAGAGGUGAAAUUCGUAGAUAUGGGGAAGAACACCGGUGGCGAAGGCGGCUCCCUGGUCCGAAACUGACGCUGAGGCGCGAAAGCGUGGGGAGCAAACAGG